rnacentral:rRNA from 1 species
CCUACGGGUGGCAGCAGUGAGGAAUAGUGGUCAAUGGGCGCGAGCCUGAACCAGCCAAGUCGCGUGAGGGAAGACGGUCCUAUGGAUUGUAAACCUCUUUUGUCGGGGAGCAAAAGACGCCACGCGUGGCGUUCCGAGAGUACCCGAAGAAAAAGCAUCGGCUAACUCCGUGCCAGCAGCCGCGGUAAUACGGAGGAUGCGAGCGUUAUCCGGAUUUAUUGGGUUGAAAGGGUGCGCAGGCGGAAGAUCAAGUCAGCGGUAAAAUUGAGAGGCUCAACCUCUUCGAGCCGUUGAAACUGGUUUUCUUGAGUGAGUUCGAAGUAUGCGGAAUUCCUCGUGUAGCGGUGAAAUGCGUAGAUAUUAGGAGGACCCCCAGUGGCGAAGGCGGCUUACUGGACUGUACCUGACGUUGCGGCUCGAAAGCGUGGGGAGCACACAGGAUUAGCUCCCCUAGUAGUC